rnacentral:rRNA from 1 species
UACGGAGGAUGCGAGCGUUAUCCGGAUUUAUUGGGUUUAAAGGGUGCGUAGGCGGUCCGUUAAGUCAGCGGUAAAAUUGCGGGGCUCAACCCCGUCGAGCCGUUGAAACUGGCAGACUUGAGUUGGCGAGAAGUACGCGGAAUGCGCGGUGUAGCGGUGAAACGCAUAGAUAUCGCGCAGAACUCCGAUUGCGAAGGCGGCGUACCGGCGCCACACUGACGCUGAGGCACGAAAGCGUGGGGAUCGAACAGG